rnacentral:rRNA from 1 species
AUUGAACGCUGGCGGCAGGCCUAACACAUGCAAGUCGAACGGUAACAGGAAGAAGCUUGCUUCUUUGCUGACGAGUGGCGGCCGGGUGAGUAAUGUCUGGGAAACUGCCUGAUGGAGGGGGAUAACUACUGGAAACGGUAGCUAAUACCGCAUAAUGUCGCCAGACCAAAGAGGGGGACCUUCGGGCCUCUUGCCAUCGGAUGUGCCCAGAUGGGAUUAGCUAGUAGGUGGGGUAACGGCUCACCUAGGCGACGAUCCCUAGCUGGUCUGAGAGGAUGACCAGCCACACUGGAACUGAGACACGGUCCAGACUCCUACGGGAGGCAGCAGUGGGGAAUAUUGCACAAUGGGCGCAAGCCUGAUGCAGCUAUGCCGCGUGUAUGAAGAAGGCCUUCGGGUUGUAAAGUACUUUCAGCGGGGAGGAAGGGAGUAAAGUUAAUACCUUUGCUCAUUGACGUUACCCGCAGAAGAAGCACCGGCUAACUCCGUG